UGUAGAGUAGGCAAAAGGCGUUAAGUGUUGAGGGAUGGGAAGUUGCCCUCAAACGAAGAGAUAAGAGGCUCGCUAUCUUUUGCCGCAUCCGCUGCU
rfam:Peptoniphilus coxii strain DNF00729 genomic scaffold Scaffold2, whole genome shotgun sequence.